CAGUGAUGUGAAGCAAAUCGCACCAAAGCCGGUCCCAGUUCGGAUAAGAGGCUGAAACUCGCCUCUUUGAAGUCGGAAUCGCUAGCAAUCGCAGAUCAGCAUGUUGCGGUGAAUACGUUCCCGGGUCUUGUACACACCGCCCGUCAAACCAUGAGAGUCACCAACACCCGAAGUCCGCUUUGGCGGCCUAAGGUGGGGGAGAUGAUUGGGGUUAAGUCGUAACAAGGUAAC
rnacentral:rRNA from 1 species